rnacentral:rRNA from 1 species
UACGGGGGGGGCAAGCGUUGUUCGGAAUUACUGGGCGUAAAGGGCUCGUAGGUGCCAACUAAGUCAGACGUGAAAUCCCCCAGGGCUUAACCUGGGGACUGCGUCUGAUACUGGAUGGCUUGAAUUCGGGAGAGGGAUGCAGAAUUCCAGGUGUAGCGGUGAAAUGCGUAGAGAUGCGGAGGAACACCGAUGGCGAAGGCAGCCCCCCUGGGCCAAUACUGACGCUCAGGCACGAAAGCGUGGGGAGCAAACAGG